AUGAACGCUGGCGGCGUGCUUAACACAUGCAAGUCGAACGAUGAAGCCCAGCUUGCUGGGUGGAUUAGUGGCGAACGGGUGAGUAACACGUGAGCAACCUGCCCCUGACUCUGGGAUAAGCGCUGGAAACGGCGUCUAAUACUGGAUAUGUCCCGUCACCGCAUGGUGUGCGGGUGGAAAGAUUUUUCGGUUGGGGAUGGGCUCGCGGCCUAUCAGCUUGUUGGUGAGGUAAUUGCUCACCAAGGCGUCGACGGGUAGCCGGCCUGAGAGGGUGACCGGCCACACUGGGACUGAGACACGGCCCAGACUCCUACGGGAGGCAGCAGUGGGGAAUAUUGCACAAUGGGCGGAAGCCUGAUGCAGCAACGCCGCGUGAGGGAUGACGGCCUUCGGGUUGUAAACCUCUUUUAGCAGGGAAGAAGCGAAAGUGACGGUACCUGCAGAAAAAGCACCGGCUAACUACGUG
rnacentral:rRNA from 1 species